rnacentral:rRNA from 1 species
GACGAACGCUGGCGGCGUGCUUAACACAUGCAAGUCGAGCGGUAAGGCCCCUUCGGGGGUACACGAGCGGCGAACGGGUGAGUAACACGUGAGUAAUCUGCCCUUCACUUCGGGAUAACCACCGGAAACGGUGGCUAAUACCGGAUACGACCAGUCCUUGCAUGAGGUGCUGGUGGAAAGUCUUUUCGGUGGAGGAUGUGCUCGCGGCCUAUCAGCUUGUUGGUGGGGUAAUGGCCUACCAAGGCUUCGACGGGUAGCCGGCCUGAGAGGGUGACCGGCCACACUGGGACUGAGACACGGCCCAGACUCCUACGGGAGGCAGCAGUGGGGAAUAUUGGACAAUGGGCGAAAGCCUGAUCCAGCAACGCCGCGUGAGGGAUGACGGCCUUCGGGUUGUAAACCUCUUUCAGUAUCGACGAAGCGCCCUGUCGGGUGGUGACGGUAGAUACAGAAGAAGGACCGGCCAACUACGUGCCAGCAGCCGCGGUAAUACGUAGGGUCCGAGCGUUGUCCGGAAUUAUUGGGCGUAAAGGGCUCGUAGGCGGUUUGUCACGUCGGGAGUGAAAUCUUACAGCUUAACUGUGAACUUGCUUUCGAUACGGGCAGACUUGAGGCAUUCAGGGGAGAACGGAAUUCCUGGUGUAGCGGUGAAAUGCGCAGAUAUCAGGAGGAACACCGGUGGCGAAGGCGGUUCUCUGGGAAUGUUCUGACGCUGAGGAGCGAAAGUGUGGGGAGCGAA